UGGGGAAUCUUGCACAAUGGGGGAAACCCUGAUGCAGCGACGCCGCGUGAGCGAAGAAGCCUUUCGGGGUGUAAAGCUCUUACGCCAGGGACGAUAAUGACGGUACCUGGAGAAGCAGCUGCGGCUAACUACGUGCCAGCAGCCGCGGUAAUACGUAGGCAGCAAGCGUUGUUCGGAAUUACUGGGCGUAAAGGGUGCGUAGGCGGCGCCUUAAGUUUGGUGUGAAAUCUCCCGGCUCAACCGGGAGGGUGCACUGAAAACUGGGGCGCUCGAGUGUGGGAGAGGAAAGCGGAAUUCCUGGUGUAGCGAUGAAAUGCGUAGAGAUCAGGAGGAACACCCGCGGUGUAGACGGCUUUCUGGACCAUGACUGACGCUGAGGCACGAAAGCGUGGGGAGCAAACA
rnacentral:rRNA from 1 species